UACGUAGGGCGCAAGCGUUGUCCGGAAUUAUUGGGCGUAAAGAGCUCGUAGGCGGCCUGUCACGUCCGCUGUGAAAUCCCGGGGCUCAACCCCGGGCCUGCAGUGGAUACGGGCUGGCUAGAGGCAGGCAGGGGAGAACGGAAUUCCUGGUGUAGCGGUGAAAUGCGCAGAUAUCAGGAGGAACACCGGUGGCGAAGGCGGUUCUCUGGGCCUGUACUGACGCUGAGGCGCGAAAGCUAGGGGAGCAAACAGG
rnacentral:rRNA from 1 species